rnacentral:rRNA from 1 species
GAUAAACGCUGGCGGCGCACAUAAGACAUGCAAGUCGAACGGACUUAACUCAUUCUUUACGAUUGAGAGCGGUUAGUGGCGGACUGGUGAGUAACACGUAAGCAACCUGCCUAUUAGAGGGGAAUAACAGUGAGAAAUCAUUGCUAAUACCGCAUAUGCUCACAGUACCACAUGGUACAGUGAGGAAAGGAGUAAUCCGCUAAUAGAUGGACUUGCGUCUGAUUAGCUAGUUGGUGGGGUAACGGCCUACCAAGGCGACGAUCAGUAGCCGGACUGAGAGGUUGAACGGCCACAUUGGGACUGAGAUACGGCCCAG